rnacentral:lncRNA from 10 species
AUGUUAGGUGAUAACAGAACUUUCUCUUUCUUCUAGCAGGAGGAAGUUGCAAUUGAACUCAUCUUCCCAGAGCCCAGAGUGGUUUUCUCGCUCCCGUAAGAGGUAGCUGCUACUUAUCAAAGGUUCCAGCUCUCUAGAUGCUACAAACACGAAGUUAUUUCAAUAAUACAUAUCUAAACCAGACUGCAAGGCUAACAUCAAAAAAGUGAUACACUUAUGUGAGAUUUUGAAAAGUGAAAAAUCAAAGGUGGAAUUGACCAGUAGAUGUAAAAGUACAACAAAUAAACAAAAAUGGCAAUGUUGAAAGUGAAACUGAAAUUCAACAGAAAUAAAAGAAAUAGCAGACUGGGGGGAUAUUGACUUUGACACCAUGAUGCCAGAGGAACUUAGUGAUGGCAAACUUAUCAAUAUAAAAUGAGGAUAUUGGUUGUCAACUAGGUUGUGUGGUGGUCCUUGAUCUUGUCCAUCAAGUCCUUUUUCCCAAAGGAUAACUGAAGAAGAUCACAUACAUUCCAACUUAUUGAGUCUGAUAGGUAUUCAUCUGAUGAGCUCCUCUUCAACUGAGGAUUGAAAUGCUGUUUUUCUUCCCUGGUACAAUGUUAAAGCUUUAAACUCUUGUCAAUGAUGUGAUGUUUCAUCUGCAAUGAUCUACACUAGAAAAAUAAAAAUGUAGUUACUGACAAAAAAGCAGACCCCAGACUCAGCUGUCAGAGAGGAGAAGCAGCUGGAUGCUCGGGACUAAGGCUGGACACUGGAGAGAAACGGCUUGACUUCCGAGGGACAGCUUGAUGGUGUAACUUCAGAUAAUAAUCUAAUCUAAAGGGGAAGAUUCUUCAGGGGAAGAUUACCUGCCUACCCCAUACCUUUUUCAGCUCCCCUACCUGCUGAGAGCUACUUUUUUCAGCAAUAAAAUCCCACACAUUUACUAUCCUUCAAUUUGUUCAUUUGACCUCAUUUUUUCUGGACAUCAGACAAGAGCUCAGGAGCCACAAGUGGGGAUACAAAAGGCUCUCACACUGGCCCUUUGCACUCAUGGGAAGAACGCAGCUGCCUCAAGCAUAAAAGUAGAGGGCCCACUGAGCUGUUAACACUUAAGCAAUCUAGGGACAGCAAAGCUAAAGAGCACUGUUUUAUGCCUUCUGGGGCUUCAGGGGUCACAGACACCUGCACUAGAUUCUCCCACAGAGCCAACAUGGAGUUUGCUCCUGCCAGCACCUAAAAGUACUUGCUGUGGCUCCUGCACUCACUCACCUGUGUGCUUCCUCCCGUGAAGGGUGAAACACAGCGGGUCCAAGUGAAUGGAGUUUGUUUCUGUGGGUGCCAAAGAUGCCAGCUGAUUCCAGCCCUUGAGCACUCCAGUUCUUGCCUCAUUUGCUCUCGCACUUCCUCCUGCAAAGAGUUGAGAGUGGCAGGCUGAGUAAAGGAGGUGAGACCCCUGUCGCGAGUCCCAUGAAGGGGUAAGGGAAAUCCUCCUUCAGGUACAGGUUGGUGUUUACCUUAUUUGAAUACAGUUUGUUUGAAUACUCAGCAGUGUACGAGUGGUUGACAUGUGGCUGCUGGGAUUGGCCAAGACUCAGCUGUUGUUACAGGUACAUACUCCUAAGUUAGGCUUUCAAUCUUGUCUCCCUAUUAAGUUAGGUUGCAGUUCAUCCACAAGGAUUCAAAUAUAGAAGUAUGAAAUCCUUGUCAGGUCAUAUUUAGUUUUUAUUAACACUUUAAAUGUACCUCAGAACCACCAAUAAAGGAGAGCUAGGCUUGGUGGAUGGAGUUCUGAGCUAUAACCUAGUUUGAUUACAAACAGCUUCUUUGAUGGCUAAUUAUAUGUUUAAUGUUUUAGUAUUUUUAAAAAUAAAAGUUUUCAAGGCUAAAUGCAUUAUAAAAUUACUUGAAAUAAAUUAAAACUGGGAACAAAAUAGGUUUACUCACAUGGAAUCAUAUAAAUAUUAAACAGAAGGUCAA